rnacentral:rRNA from 1 species
GACGUAGGGGGCGAGCGUUGUCCGGAUUUAUUGGGCGUAAAGCGCGCGUAGGCGGCCGCGUUAGUCGGAUGUGAAAACCCGGGGCUCAACCCCGGGCCGUCGAUUCGAUACUGCGUGGCUAGAGGCAGGUAGGGGAGAUCGGAAUUCCUGGUGUAGCGGUGAAAUGCGCAGAUAUCAGGAGGAACACCGGUGGCGAAGGCGGAUCUCUGGGCCUGUCCUGACGCUGAGGCGCGAAAGCUAGGGGAGCGACAGG